CAGAGUGUAGCUUAAUCAAAGCCUCUCGCUUACACCGAGACUAUGCCUGAUAAUCCCGGGCCAUUCUGA
rnacentral:tRNA from 1 species